CAAUAGCGUAUAUUAAAGUUGUUGCAGUUAAAAAGCUCGUAGUUGGAUCUGUGGUGUGCGGUGGGCUCCGGGCACUCGUUGUCUGAGUAGCUCGCCGCCGCCAUCCUUGGGUGGAACCUGUGUGGCAUUAGGUUGUCGUGCAGGGGAUGCCCAUCGUUUACUGUGAAAAAAUUAGAGUGUUCAAAGCAGGCUUAUGCCGUUGAAUAUAUUAGCAUGGAAUAAUGAGAUAGGACUUUUUCGCUAUUUUGUUGGUUUGCGCGAAGAGGUAAUGAUUAAUAAGGACAGUUGGGGGUAUUUGUAUUCCAUUGUCAGAGGUGAAAUUCUUGGAUUUUUGGAAGACGAGCUACUGCGAAAGCAUUUACCAAGGAUGUUUUCAUUAA
rnacentral:rRNA from 1 species